rnacentral:rRNA from 1 species
UACCAGCACCCCGAGUGGUUGGGACGAUUAUUGGGCCUAAAGCGUCCGUAGCCGGUCCUACAAGUCUUCCGUUAAAUCCACCUGCUUAACAGAUGGGCUGCGGUAGAUACUAUAGGGCUAGGAGGCGGGAGAGGCAAGCGGUACUCAGUGGGUAGGGGUAAAAUCCUCUGAUCCAUUGAAGACCACCAGUGGCGAAGGCGGCUUGCCAGAACGCGCUCGACGGUGAGGGAUGAAAGCUGGGGGAGCAAACCGG